UACGAAGGGGGCUAGCGUUGCUCGGAAUCACUGGGCGUAAAGCGCACGUAGGCGGAUCCUUAAGUCGGGGGUGAAAUCCUGGAGCUCAACUCCAGAACUGCCUUCGAUACUGAGGAUCUCGAGUCCGGGAGAGGUGAGUGGAACUGCGAGUGUAGAGGUGAAAUUCGUAGAUAUUCGCAAGAACACCAGUGGCGAAGGCGGCUCGCUGGCCCGGUACUGACGCUGAGGUGCGAAAGCGUGGGGAGCAAACAGG
rnacentral:rRNA from 1 species